GCACAAGCAGUGGAGUAUGUGGUUUAAUUCGACGCAACGCGAAGAACCUUACCAGGUCUUGACAUCCCUUGACGAUGCUGGAAACAGUAUUUCUCUUCGGAGCAAGGAGACAGGUGGUGCAUGGUUGUCGUCAGCUCGUGUCGUGAGAUGUUGGGUUAAGUCCCGCAACGAGCGCAACCCUUAUGGUCAGUUACUACGCAAGAGGACUCUGGCCAGACUGCCGUUGAUAAAA
rnacentral:rRNA from 1 species